CCUACGGGAGGCAGCAGUGAGGAAUAUUGGUCAAUGGGCGAGAGCCUGAACCAGCCAAGUCGCGUGAGGGAGUACUGCCCUAUGGGUUGUAAACCUCUUUUGUCGGGGCGCAAAAGCCGGACGUGUCCGGCUGUGAGGGUACCCGGAGAAAAGGCCUUGGCUAACCCCGUGCCAGCAGCCGCGGUAAUACGGAGGAUGCGAGCGUUAUCCGGAUUUGUUGGGUUUAAAGGGUGCGCAGGCGGGUUUUUAAGUCAGUGGUAAAAUCGUGGGGCUCAACCCCAUCCAGCCGUUGAAACUGGGGAUCUAGAGUGUGCGAGAGGUAUGCGGAAUGCGUGGUGUAGCGGUGAAAUGCAUAGAUAUCACGCAGAACCCCGAUGGCGAAGGCAGCAUACCGGUGCACAACUGACGCUCAGGCACGAAAGCGUGGGUAUCGAACAGGAUUAGAUACCCGAGUAGUC
rnacentral:rRNA from 1 species